UCUGAGCUCUGUUCCUUAGGAUGGGGAUGGCCCGAGGGAACUGGUCAUUUAGAAUAAUGGGGUGAUGGUGUUACUUGCUGGUGGAGCUGCUAGUGCCCAGUCUGACGCUGCUUAUAUUGACAGGGGAACAGGGAGCUCUGACACAUAGUUCUGUCCCUACCACCCCUCUUCCCUGUGGGAGCUCCUUUAACAACUAGUGGUCUCGGGGUUUGGUUUUUUAACCUCUGCCAUGUUCCGGUUCAGGUCAUUGCAUUUCUCUCCCCACUGUCUCUGAUCCUCCUGGCCAGAUGUCUCAAGAAGGCGGGCGGGACAGACAGCAGACAGGCCUGCCUGGGUAAGAACCAGCGGUCUCUGGCUGGGUUACCUCCUUGGUGCUGGAAUGAGAAGGUGGGAGUUGUGGGCUUCAGCCACUGGAGGUGUGACCUCAGCGGGUGGAGACCAUGGGGUUCUGCAUUCCUAAAGUCGUCCUAUCUCCCCUGUACCUGUGCUGUCACCCGUGACACCGAAAACUAGCACUCUAAGAACGUAACUUCCUAGCAGUGCCUAUGUGCACUGGAUAAUUUGUACCCCAGAAACAUCUUCAGCCUAGUGCAGAAGUUCUCUCUGUGCAACACGGUAAGAGAAUUAUUUCCACACUCAGCUCCGGUUGGAGCCUGACCGUUCCUGUCUCAGAAAGACAUGGCUGCUCUCAAGAGACAAUGACCAUGCAGCGCCUCUGGGGCAGAAACUAACAGUAAGUUUCUUUGCUUUCCAGCUGCCAGCCUUGCCCUGGCUCUGAACGGUGUCU
rnacentral:lncRNA from 1 species